rnacentral:miRNA from 1 species
CAGAUACCCAGUUAAAUUUGAAUUUCAGACAAACAAUGAAAAAAUAAUUUUAGUAUAAGUGUGUCCCACUCAAUAUUUGGGACAUGCUUAUGCUAAAAUAUUAUGUGUUGUUUAUCUGAAAUUCAGAUUUAACUGGGCAUACUGU